rnacentral:rRNA from 1 species
UACGUAGGGUGCGAGCGUUAAUCGGAAUUACUGGGCGUAAAGCGUGCGCAGGCGGUUUUGUAAGUCAGAUGUGGAAUCCCCGGGCUUAACCUGGGAACUGCGUUUGAAACUACAAGGCUAGAGUGUAGCAGAGGGGGGUGGAAUUCCACGUGUAGCAGUGAAAUGCGUAGAGAUGUGGAGGAACACCGAUGGCGAAGGCAGCCCCCUGGGUUAACACUGACGCUCAGGCACGAAAGCGUGGGGAGCAAACAGG